AAUGAGUCACAUGACACCGGGGAGAGAAAAUGGCUAAUUGGGCCCAAUUUGGACAUUGUCACUUAGGAGUGUGCUCACUUUUGUGGCCAUUGGUCUAGACACGAAUGGCUGUGUGUUGAGUUAUGUUGAGGGGACAGCAAAUUUACAUUCAUACAAGC